GGGCUCGGGGGUCCCAGUUCCGA
rnacentral:siRNA from 1 species